ensembl:ncRNA C16D9.12 ncRNA
UUGAUGAGAGUGGGAUUCGAACCCACGCCCCCGGAGGGACUGGUGCCUAAAACCAGCGCCUUAGACCACUCGGCCAUCUCACCG